AAUGAACGUUGGCGGCGUGGAUUAGGCAUGCAAGUCGUGCGAGAAGUUUCCUGCUUGCAGGAGACGGAAAGCGGCGAAAGGGAGAGUAACGCGUGGAUAUCUGCCCUCAGACCCGGGAUAGCGUCGGGAAACUGACGGUAAUACCGGAUAAUGUCUCCGGACCAAAGGUGUGAUUCCGUCUGAGGAUGAGUCCGCGUCCUAUUAGCUUGUUGGUGGGGUAACGGCCUACCAAGGCAUAGAUGGGUACCGGGUGUGAGAGCAUGGCCCGGCUCACUGGGACUGAGACACUGCCCCAGACACCUACGGGUGGCUGCAGUCGAGAAUCUUCGGCAAUGAGCGCAAGCUUGACCGAGCGACGCUGCGUGCGGGAUGAAGGCCUUCGGGUUGUAAACCGCUGUCAGAGGGGAGGAAAUGCUGGAGGGCACUCUCUCCAGUUUGACCGAUCCUCAGAGGAAGUACGGGCUAAGUUCGUG
rnacentral:rRNA from 1 species